UAAUAAUAAUAAUAAUAAGUAGUCAAAUAAGAUAGUAAACGUGUCCUAGAGAUGAUAAGUGGAAUAAAAUAAGAACCUAGUCUAAAUGAUAACCUAAUAAUAGUUUAGGAUCCUUAACUAAACUUCGAAGUGGGUAACGCGACGUGUGAGUAUGCGGGUAGUGUAGGUGUUAUAAGGGUAUGGGAUUCAAUGGCUAGUCUGACGUCAUAAUUACUUGCAGGAUAGAGUCUGGAUUGGAGACUUCAAUUGGUUCUCCAAUGUAGAGUUCGAGUCAUAAGUCCAAUGCAGCCAGAUGAUGUUUCUUUGGCUGCAGGUACUCCGGUCGUAGUUGAUGACGUAGUAAAAGUGUACUUGAAAUAUUAUGACCGAAGCUCGCCAUGACGGUCGUAAUUGUGGGACCAUGGGCAUCCUCUACUUGAUGGGUUUUGUUUAUGGCUUGUGACGCUUGUGUCACUUGUUAUUGUAUAGAGUCAUUUAUGUUAUGUAAUUAAUUUGAGGAAAUACUUAAAUAGAUAGAUGUAAUAUUGGCUCUUGAUUAUGAUUAAUUUAUGAUAGAUGUUUAAGAUGUGAUUUCCGCUAUUAGGUUUA